UAGGGAAUCUUCCACAAUGGACGCAAGUCUGAUGGAGCAACGCCGCGUGAGUGAAGAAGGUUUUCGGACCGUAAAGCUCUGUUGUUGGUGAAGAAGGAUAGAGGUAGUAACUGGCCUUUAUUUGACGGUAAUCAACCAGAAAGUCACGGCUAACUAACGUGCCAGCAGCCGCGGUAAAUACGUAGGUGGCAAGCGUUGUCCGGAUUUAUUGGGCGUAAAAGCGAGCGCAGGCGGAAGAAUAAAGUCUGAUGUGAAAGCCCUC
rnacentral:rRNA from 1 species